rnacentral:lncRNA from 1 species
AAAGAAGGACCAAGGAGGAUCCUAUCCUUAAGGAGAAGGAGGAGUAGGAGGAGUCAGUUUUCUUUGAAGAUCGAGGAACGUAGUGUCGGACAAUUAUGCCAUUCGGAAGAAGUCUUCUACAGAAGAAAAGCCUGUUACGAGUAAGUGGAGAGGAAAGAUCUCCAGGGAUUCUUAUCUCAUUCCAUUCCAGUGGCUCAACCAGUAACCAAUGGCGAAAACUCAAAAAUCCAUGGUUUCCCGGUAGAACCCUAUUUCGCCCAAGUUGUUUCGGAACCGGAAAAAAGAAGCGGUUUUUCGCACAGCUUGCUCAUAGUGCAGGUCCCACUUGUAUAUCGUAUUUGGCCGAAGAAGCAUCGGACAGGUUUAAUGGCGAAAACUAAAAAAUCCAUGGUUUUCCGGUAGAACCCUAUUUCGCCCAAGUUGUUUCGGAACCGGAAAAAAGAAGAAGGAAAAAAUUGACUUUCCUCACUUAUGGAUGAAGGCCAUUUUCUUACAACAACCUUGAUUUUUAAUUUCAUAUUAUUUGCUUCAACUAGUACUUUGUUACAACAUCCUUGAUUUUAAAAAGUAUAUUUGCUUCGAUUCAAUUAACUAUCCCAAUUCAUAUGGUUUAUUUAUUAAGAGAAUGGUUGGUAUUGUUUAUGUUGACUUUUCUUACGUCAUUAGUGAAAUGUUUAUUACAAGCAAGCUAUUACUAUAUUCAUAAGAGUAUAAGUAGGUCCCUUUUAAUUAUGCCAUUAGUGGAGUUGUUCGACUAUUCAAGUUAUAAUACUUUGUGGAUACGAUAUCUUUUUCUCAAACUAGUAACUUCUUAGUGUGGACACAAGUAUUUUUCUUUUUCUCCCAAGAUUGACUAUUUUAUAAUAAUAAUAAUAAUAAAAUCAUACAAGUAACAAGUAGCACAACUUUUGAAAGAAGACCAGCAAAAGACUCUGCCGUGACAUAUAUAAACCAGAAAGACUUUAAACUUGGAACUAACAAGGAAGCUAGCUUUCACAUGCAAAAACUAAAACAAAAAGUAAGGGGAGAAAUUCAAAAAUAGCCAGAUUUAUAAGUGAUCGUUUGAAAAUAACCCAGCUUCAAAAGUAAUCUAAAUUUAGCCACUUUUCAUAUACAAAUAAAUCUGAACGAAAACACAAUUCAAAACCCGAAAAAAUACUCCAACAUAAUAUUCUAGAGUUACAUUCUAAUAUACUGGAGUUCCAGUAUAAUAUACCGAUCCAACAUAAUAUAUUAGAGUUUGAAGCACCGGUGCUCCAGUAUAUUAUAAUCUGGAGCCAGCAAAGUAUACCGGUCCAACAUAAUAAGCUGAAAGUUCAUACAUAGGUACACCGAACUCCAGUAUAUUAUGCUGGUCUGGUCUCUGUUACAAUAAAAUAAUAGCUAUUUUUGAAUAACCCGUUCGAAAACUGACUCGGCCGUGCUAUUUUUAGAAAAAUAAGAUGAAAUCUCAUUGUGUGAUGUUUCUCUUUCUCCAUAAAAUUUAAUUAGGCAGGGCAGUAUAUAUUCAAUUCAAAACAAACGGGAAACAGGAAACCGAGUAAGUGAACGCGGAAGCUGGCAGCUCUUACUAACUAAUACUAGUGUAUUAUAAUUCACAAAAAAAGACAUAGUAUUAAAGAAACUGCUGCAUUGCUCUCAGCUACAACUCUUGUUUGGUUCAUUGAAAAGUCAAUUUUAUCAUUGAACCAAUUAUGGAAAGAACCAAUAGCAUUCUUAUGUUUGUGUUGCGUCAUCUCUUUCGUACUGCUUCUUUGGCUAUUAAUCCUAAUGAUGAAGCUGCUCUUCUUGCCUUCAAAUCUCACAUUUCUUCUGAUCCUAAUAACUUGUUAGAAAGCAACUGGACUGUUUCCUCCCUAGUUUGCAGCUGGAUUGGCAUUACUUGCAGCUCGCGCCACCAUAGAGUCACUGCUUUAGACAUUUCUAGCAUGCAACUUUGCGGUACCAUUCCUCCACACCUCGGAAAUCUCUCACUUCUUGUUUCCCUUGACAUCAGUAACAACAGUUUUCGUGGCGAUCUGCCACAAGAGUUGUCUCUUUUGCAAAGGUUGAAACUUAUUGAUGUUACACGAAAUAAUUUUAGUGGUCCUAUUCCAUCGGUCUUAAGUUUGUUACCAAACCUUCGAUUCCUCUACCUUUCGAGCAACCAAUUUUCAGGGGAAAUCCCAUCUUCCUUUUCCAAUUUGACAAAUCUUCAACAGUUAAGAAUGCAGAGGAAUUCUCUUCAAGGAAAGAUCCCUCCUGAAAUUGGCGACCUUCGUUACUUGACAAUGUUAGACCUACAAGGUAAUGUUUAAGUAUAUAACCAUCUCAUCAAAAAGCUUAAACUGUAAGAGAAUGCAUGCAUAUUUUCCUUUACUUCAUUAUAUACAGUACAGAGCCGCAGCCAGAAUUUGAAGCUUAUGGGGUCAGGACUCUAGUUCUUUUAAGUCUCCAGAUUCUAAAUUAAUAAUCUGUGCAUGCAUAUUCAGUUAAUUUCUUAAGACAAAUAUAAGGUUUGGACUGAAGUUACUGGGUUCGGCCGAACCAUAGCGGAACGGCUGGCUCCGCCGCUGAUUAUAUAUUCAACAUGCCCCUUCACAUGCAGGCCUAAUUGAUCUUCUUGAUUGGUCAUGUUGAUGUGUGUGAUCGCCUAAUCUAAAAGUUUAAUUAUUUAUUCAACAGGUAACAGGCUUACUGGCUCUAUACCACCAUCAAUCUUCAACAUGACUUCCCUGAGACAACUUGCCUUAAUUCGCAAUCGUUUUACUGGUAAACUUCCUGUAGAUAUUUGUAACAAUCUCCCAAAUCUCGAAGUGCUCUUUCUCUCUAGCAACAUCCUAGAUGGCCUAAUCCCACCAAAUUUAGAGAAAUGCUCAAAGCUUAAAAAUUUGACAUUGUCUGGAAAUCAGUUCACUGGAACUAUACCUAGAGAACUUGGGAACUUAACUAUGCUCACAUUGUUGCAUCUUGGAGAAAACCUUUUAGAAGGUAUGAAUUAUCUUUCAGCUUUUGUUUUUUUUUAUUUUAAGAUUUCUGAAUAGCUAAGCAAUGUCAGUUUGAACUAAUCAUUAUGCAUUUUACUCUAAUUGCCAGGAGAAAUACCAGUUGAGAUAGGUAAUCUACAAAACCUUCAAUUGCUUGGGUUACGAGGUAACAACUUAAGUGGUUCUAUUCCUGCAAACAUUUUCAACAUUUCAGCAUUGAAGAUACUUACCAUAUAUGGAAAUCAGAUAUCAGGUAGUUUACCUUCACAUUUAGGCCUUGGAAUACCAAAUCUUGAAGAAGUUUACCUUGGAUCGAAUGACCUUAGCGGAAGAAUUGCUCCUACAAUCUCAAAUGCUUCAAGGCUAAUUAUUAUAGACCUAGCAAACAACAAAUUUACAGGUCCAAUUCCUAAUUCACUUGGUACCUUAGAGUUUCUUGAAGGCCUAUACUUGGGUGGUAACAACUUCAUUAAUGAGCCAUCUUCUUCUGAGUUAAGCUUCCUUACAUCCCUGACUAAUUGUAGAUAUUUAAGAGAAGUGGUCAUUGAAGAGAAUCCUUUGAAUGGUUUUCUUCCAGCUUCUAUUGGAAAUUUUUCUGAUUCUCUUCGGAUAAUUAUAGUACGUAGAAGCAAGCUGAAGGGCACCAUCCCAGAAGAUAUUGGAAAUCUAAGCGGCUUACGUGUGCUAGCUCUGUCUCAUAAUAACCUCAUUGGUUCCAUUCCUGAGAAGUUGAGAACAAUGCAAAAUCUUCAAGAAUUUUACUUAGAAAAUAACAGUCUAAGAGGAACAAUACCUGAUGAUAUCUGCAGUUUACAGAAUCUUGGAGCUUUAGACUUGACUUCUAAUCAAAUUUCUGGUUCAGUUCCAGCUUGUUUAGGAAAAGUGUCUACUUUAAGAUAUCUGCAUUUAGGUUUCAACAGAUUGAAAUCCACCUUACCUGAAAGCCUGUGGAGUCUUCAAGAUCUCAUAGAACUGAGUGCAUCAUCAAAUCUAUUAAGGGGGCGUAUACCUCCUGAGAUAGGUAAUCUAAAAGUUGUGACACUAAUUGAUCUGUCCAAAAAUGAUCUUUCUGGUAAUAUUCCUAGUACUAUAGGGGGUCUUGAAAAUUUGAUUAGUCUCUCAAUGGCACAUAAUAAAUUAGAAGGGCCUAUUCCAAGUUCAUUUGGUAAAAUGGUAGGCUUGGAAUUCUUGGAUUUCUCUUACAACAAUCUUACUAGUGAAAUUCCAAAGUCACUUGAAGCACUCUCACACCUUAACUACUUCAACAUCUCUUUUAACAAGUUAAAGGGAGAAAUUCCCACUGGCGGUCCUUUUGCAGAUUUCACCGGUCAAUCUUUCAUGUCCAAUGAUGCACUCUGUGGUGAUUCUCGCUUUAAUGUGUCACCAUGCCUCAUCAAAUCCACCAAGAAAUCAAGGAGAAAGAGAGUGCUUAUAGGACUAUAUAUUCUAUUAGGGAUUGGAUCAAUGUUUCUAGUAUUUGUCCUUGGAUAUAUGCUGUUAAGAUGGCAAAAGAAAAAGAAGAAUUCAGGUCAAACAGAUGAGUCUUUUGUGAAAGGACAUGACAGAAUAUCAUAUCAUGAACUUCAACAAGCAACUGAAGGAUUCAGUGAGAGCAAUUUGCUUGGUAAAGGGAGUUUCAGCGUGGUGUACAAAGGGAUACUUAAAGAUGGGACUCGUUUGGCUGCAAAGGUAUUCAAUGUGCAUUUGGAGGGAGCAUUUAAGAGCUUUGACACAGAAUGUGAGAUACUACGCAACCUUCGCCAUAGAAAUCUCACAAGAGUGAUAACUAGUUGUUCCAACCCAGACUUCAAAGCCUUAGUAUUGGAUUACAUGCCCAAUGGAACACUUGAUAAGUGGCUAUACUCUCAUAAUUUGUUCUUAAACAUGUUGCAGAGGCUGGAUAUUAUGAUAGAUGUGGCAUCGGCGUUAGAUUAUCUCCACAAUGGGUAUCCAACACCUGUGGUGCAUUGUGAUCUAAAGCCAAGCAAUGUCUUGCUAGAUCAAGAAAUGAUUGGUCAUGUGAGUGAUUUUGGCAUUGCAAAGUUGCUAGGUGCGGGGGAAACUUUUGUCCAAACAAGGACUAUUGCAACCAUUGGAUACAUAGCUCCAGGUAAUAGAACCUUUCAAACUUGGUAUGCUGUAGAUUUUCCAUUUCAAAAUUAUAUUCCAUGGUAAUAAGGAGUAGUUUAGUUCAUGAGCUAACAAAAUUUCCCCCUUGAUUGCAGAGUAUGGACAGGAUGGAAUAGUAUCCAAAAAUUGUGAUGUCUAUAGUUUCGGCAUCAUGAUGAUGGAAACAUUUACUAGGAUGAGGCCAAGUGAUGAUAUGUUUACUGGAGAUUUGAGCCUAAGAUGUUGGAUUAAUGACUCUUUUCCUAGUGGAGUUGGUAAAGUUGUGGAUGCCAAUUUGUUGAGGCCAGAGGAAGGACAUAUUAAAGCCAAGAUUCAAUGUUUGUUGUCUAUUAUGGAAUUAGCUUUGAGUUGCACUUUAGUGUCACCUGAUGCAAGAGUUAACAUGGAAAAUGCUCUUUCAGCCCUCAGGAAGAUAAGAUUUCAGUUUGUCACUAGUUGUGUUAGGACAUAAAAGAAAAGGUUCUUCUACUCCUUUUUUGUCAGUUUUCGCAUGAUUAUUUCAUCACUCCAUAUGAUGUAUGUUCUGUGUGUGAUUCGGAGCUUGUAAAGAAAUAAGCUAUAUGAUAUGAUUACUAAAAAAUAAAGUAACAGAUCUGUGACUUCAAAUUCCUUCAAUAGCUCAAUGGAGUUGGUGAGAACUACAGAAUGCAUAGGGAUAAACGCAUACAAAAAGUUAGUUCUUAUCCUCAUAAAGAAUAUGCAGAAACUAAAUAAACUUAAGAAAAACAGGUCUACAACUAAAUGGAGCCUCAUGUUUCUUUACAGCAACUGCUUUUCUCCAGACCAAGGAUUUCUACAUAGAUGAAGCAGGACAAGACUUUAAGUCUUUAAUUGUACAUCUUUCUCAGUCCGCUCAGGUUGAUAUCUGUAAUACCCAAUGGAAUGAGAACAGAAAAAAGGACCAUUUGUGAUCACUGUUUCGCAGGUGAACUCACAGAGCUUAUCACAUUCAUCAGAGAAAUGUAGUCAAUAGUAGUUGAUACGCCUACACAAGGCUCUCAGGCUAUUAGAGCAUCAGCCGCAUGCCAAUUGCAGUAGCCUCUUUGAAGCAACUAGAAGUAUUCACAUGCAGUUGGAAAUAAUAAGCUCGAAUUAAUAACGUCUACUACAUCAAGGUGCCACUUCUAGUGUUGCUGCGGUCCUCUCGGACCAGCUACUAAUCUUCACCUUGGUAAACUAUAGCCUCAGAACUAGCUAAUCAGACGAGAGCCCCUCCACAGAUUCCUCCUUAUCAUAUUUGCUUUAGUUGAAGAGAAUCAAUUAAGUAAUAUCAGAACAAGUAAUCACUGAGAAUAUCCACUUUGGAAUAAUAAAGGGAGAGAUUCUGGCAGGAUUAUCCGUCCACUUUGAAUUCUAAAGAAAAUGAUCACAACUACAUAGAAACUGAAAAAGGGGAAAAUACCUAUGCAUUGGAUCAUAAUCAGUCUUUUAUUACAUGGGGACCACACCAUCUUUCCUUGAGCAUUGUUGUUGACACCACUAAAUUAAACUGCCUGGAUUACACCAAAAAGCACUCAGUCGUUAAUUUCUAUUUUCCAAGCAUUUGCCUCCAUAACUGUCACUCAGGUACCUCCACAAGCUACAGAAAUAACUCAAACUGUUCAAGUGCCUUCACAAGCUACUAAAUAACAACCCCCAUAGGGGGAAAUUUAACAAGAAAUGCUUAAGCAAAAGUCCUACUACAUUUCCAAUAACUUUCAAAUGUGCCCAAAUCAUAUUUAGCUGCACUAGCGCAUGAUUCCAUUAGCAGGAAUAAAUCAAUGAAGUGACAAGCACACAAUUUCAACAACAUUACUGAAGAGAAUCGGCUGCAGGGACUGGUCCAUGGUUUACAACCACAGGAGGCCGAAGAGCUUUGUGAUUAGCUACAUUUUCCUUGCGUGCCUUGUAUAUCUCUUCUGUCUGAAUGACAACCAACCUUUUCACCUAAGAUCAGUAUGAGAAAUGUAAAAUGAAUAAUUACUAGUACUUCAUAUGAAAACAAGAAGAGAGCACUCAUUCAAUAAAUUCAUAUUUAUAGCAAGCCAAUUUUAAAACCUGCUGAAGCAUUCCCCUAACAGUAGGGGUGUUCCACCGCAUUACAGUCCUGUUGCAUUUGUGAAGGCGCAGUGCCUCUAAGGUGCGUCUAUGGAGCCUUCUAGUGCCGGGAAUACCCCUUACAAGGGUUAUGUAUAAAUUAGGGCUCCAAGCUACUGGAACAAAAGCUUUAAAAGCAUUGCAAGCACUCAUCUUUUCCUGUUUUACUGGUAUUUACUUUCCUGUGGCAGAAGUAACGUAAAACUUUCCAUCAAAUAUUUUCAAAUAGGAAGCUAGGGAAGGAGGUACAGGAUCUAACAAAUCUGCUUCACGUGGAUAUUUAUAUUUCUCACAAUUAAACAAAAUAUAGCUAAGUGACAGCAUGUGGAGCAAUGAACUUAUUAAGAAAACACACCUAAACCAGAUAACAAUCUAAGUAACAAGAUGGAUUACAAAAAUUUAACUGAAAGAAAANNNNNNNNNNNNNNNNNNNNNNNNNNNNNNNNNNNNNNNNNNNNNNNNNNNNNNNNNNNNNNNNNNNNNNNNNNNNNNNNNNNNNNNNNNNNNNNNNNNNNNNNNNNNNNNNNNNNNNNNNNNNNNNNNNNNNNNNNNNNNNNNNNNNNNNNNNNNNNNNNNNNNNNNNNNNNNNNNNNNNNNNNNNNNNNNNNNNNNNNNNNNNNNNNNNNNNNNNNNNNNNNNNNNNNNNNNNNNNNNNNNNNNNNNNNNNNNNNNNNNNNNNNNNNNNNNNNNNNNNNNNNNNNNNNNNNNNNNNNNNNNNNNNNNNNNNNNNNNNNNNNNNNNNNNNNNNNNNNNNNNNNNNNNNNNNNNNNNNNNNNNNNNNNNNNNNNNNNNNNNNNNNNNNNNNNNNNNNNNNNNNNNNNNNNNNNNNNNNNNNNNNNNNNNNNNNNNNNNNNNNNNNNNNNNNNNNNNNNNNNNNNNNNNNNNNNNNNNNNNNNNNNNNNNNNNNNNNNNNNNNNNNNNNNNNNNNNNNNNNNNNNNNNNNNNNNNNNNNNNNNNNNNNNNNNNNNNNNNNNNNNNNNNNNNNNNNNNNNNNNNNNNGUAUUGAUGUUUUAAGCCUGCUUAGUGGCACGUCCUUUACAAUUAUGAAAAUACAUAUAUGCAUAAUAUUUUUUUUUUCAUAUUUUUAGUAUCUGCGGGGAUGCAUAAAGUAAAAUACAUAAGCAUCAACAUUCAAAGUGUGAUGUUGCCGGAAGCUAUGAAAGUUGAGAGGAUGAUUUUCUCAAUGUUAUGAGGUAAAAAUAGAAGGAGUACCAACUCAUAGUGGGCAGAACUGUAAUGAGUCUUACAUAACAUUGCUUAGUGUAAAAUCAUAAGGAACUUUGCUUCAUUAUCACAAAUAUCAGUAAACAUGUACUCAGACUGAGAGAACGCAGGAUUCUCCCCAAGGUUUAACAAAAUUUGGUCCAUAUAUUUCAAAAUUGAUUAUUUAUCUAUAUGAUUUAUUCUUACAAGUAUUUCCUAGUAUUAGGAAGUUCUACGAUUGAGUAGCUUAAUUACUAUACACCACUACCGGAAAAGAUUAGGAGUCAAUUAACAGGAACAGUAUCACUUUUCAUGAAAGCCUGAAGAAGUAAUUGACAUCUUCUUCAAGAAACGGGUUGACUAGCAGUAGUAGCAAUGCAACAACAACAACAACAACAACCAAGUAAAAUCCCAUAAGAGGGAUAUGGGGAGGGAAGUGUGUACGCAGACUUAACCCCUACGCCAAUGGGCAGCCUUCGGUUGUUUCUGAUAGGCCCUCGGCUCAAGAAGAUGGAAAAGACUGAGAAGAGAGAAUAUAUCAGUACCGUCAAGGCGUCAACAGAAAGCAUAGAAAUAAUAACAGAAUAAAUGAUUGCUAUUAAUUCCAGAUGCGAAACCACUAUUUUCAACCCUCAUCACUUUGAACGUACGUUCCCACUCAAUAUAGGCACAUUUCGGCCAACCUUCUCAGCCAUGAACAGUACUUAACUGAAACCUUGUCAAACGUCAGUUAUUCACCGAGCUCACAUCUAAGCCCAUAGGGCUUAGCUCAAUCGGCAAAGGUUGACGGACUUGUGGCUUAGGUCACAAGUUCGAGCUCUGUGCCAAGGGAACUAAGUCUCCUAUCUAAAUGUGGAAGGAUAGAGGAGCAAGCCCAUUAUCCCCGAGUUCUGAAGGCUGCGGUUCCAGGCAUGGUUCUAACUCCUAAGGGUUGAUUCCAGACAACAUCUAACUAAUUACCACAAAAAAUGGCAAAUCAAUUUCUUUUCUUGUUCGCUAACGAGGAAAAUAAAUAUUUAACUAGUUCAAUACCUCUUACAGCUGAGAUGGAAAGACAAAAAUUGAACUUUUUUUUUUCAAGGACUUCACAUAAUGUCUCUUCCACUAUAAUUAAUAUUUUAGGAUUCCAUGAGUGAAUAAUUAACAGGUUUUCAUUCUAAUUAACAUCAGAAGUUAAUAAACAAGACAAUUUAGAGAUACCCAAAAUCCUAAAGGGUAUUUUAGAAGUAGUGUCAUAAAGAUCAAAUUGCAAACUUACUUGGCCAAGACCUCACUGAAGACUGAACUUUGCUCUAUGGUGAACUUUACGACUUUCCUUCUGCCCUAUGGCUUUCUGUUUUGGAAACUCCUAUUUAAUAUACACCCGAUUCGGCCCACCAAAAGAACGUUUUUUUUAAAAAAAAUUCGUAUAAACUAUAUUAUCAGAUAUAUUCAUAAUUUAUAUAUUAUUACUAUUCAUGCUAAUAGUAUUUCUACAUCAUAUAUACAAUACGUUAAAUAAGAAAUCAAGAUAGCUUUAUGAUUCCUUAUUUAGCCGCGCUAAAGAAGGGAAUUAAAUAUUUUCCAGUCUUCCCAAACGCAAAUCAUGCAUAGUAAUAACUAUCGUCGAGUUCGUCACAAAAUUGUCGUACUCUAUUUUUGGAAGACACUCUGUUUCAAAGUUUUCUCUGAUUUUACAAUUCAAAAUUGACAAAAUCUUCUACAAUUCUUCUGCAAUAAAAACAAUUAUGGCAAAAAUACCAAUUAUGAUACAACUUAAUGGGAAUUAAGAUAGUUAUGGGAGAUUUAGAGGAUUUGAGGUCUAUGGCAUUUUUGGCAUUGUAGUCGAUGACGGUGCGAGUUAUAGUCUAUUGAUUUCUACAAUAGCACAGCAAUUAAUUAUUGAUAAAUCCGAAAAAUUAUAGAAAUCAAAUACAUUGUCUUCCAAUGGAAACUAGGAGCGAUAUGGGUGUUCGUGUAUACAUGGAGACAAAAAAGAAAAAUAAAAAUUUAGGAUCAUAUCUGCUAUGUAUUAUUGUUCGCGAUUUCAAUAUGGAAUUGAGUAUCACCAAUGAGAACACAGCUGCAGGUAUGUGAAGUAAUUUUUUCUAUGAAAUUCCAAUACAAUGUCAGUAGUCUACAAUUUACCUACAUUUUAACUACAGUUAACUACAUAUAUAUUAUUCAAUAUGAAUUUCUAUAUUAUCUACAAAAUUUUACAUUUAUUCUACAAUAAAACAACAAAAAAGUUGAAAAAUUAAUAUAAAAUAUUGAAUUUCAAUAUUUCUAUAAGUUAUCUUCAAAUAGGCGAUAACAUGUAUUUUUUUAUUUUCAUUGAGAUUCUUAUGGAAUACUAAAUUUAAUUGAUAUGUCAUAAUCUCCUGUUAUAGAGGAAUAUGAAAGUAUAAUAAUAACUGAUAGUACACCAAGUUCUAUUGAAGUAGGACAAGUAUACCAAGGCAAAAAAACAAUUGCAACUGCAAUGAAUCACUAUUUUGUCAUGCACAAGUUCCAAUUCAGGGUUAAAAGAUCUAAUGCUAGAAGGUAUGAACAUAUAAAUAGUCAAAGAUUUUUUUUUGUAGUUUGCUUUUAAUUUUUUACUUAUUCAAGCUUUUCCUUGUGAUAAUGUUUAACAGAAUUGUAGUUGAAUUGUAGUUAUAUUGUAUAUAAAUUAUAUAAUGUGAUCUUUUAAGCUAAAACAAUUUUUUUUAAAUCUAAAUUUUAACCCAUUGUGUAAAAUGUAUUAAUUUUGUAUCUACUGGCUGAUAUGUAUUGGUGAAAACUGUACUUGGCACUUCAAGGCAACUAGCAUAAAUGAUUCUGCAAUAUUCAAGGUCAGAAAUUUCGACAGACAACACACAUGCUCUUUAAUGGACAAUACAUUCAUACAACGCAAAGCUACUGCCAUGGUAGUUGGUAGCAUGGUCAUUCCAAAAUAUUCUGAUCCUAAGACAAUUUACAACCCAAAAGAAUUCAAUUUGACACGUUGUCUGAACACGACAUGAACCUAACCUACAUGCAAGCCUGUAGAACAAAGAAAAAGGCUUUACAGUUUAUGAGAGGUCAUCCUGCUGAUUCUAAUAGCAAAUUGUCUAGUUAUUUGUAUAUUCUAGAGAAGACUUAUCCGGGACCUAUAGUUAAAUUGAAGAAGACAGACGAUGACUGCUUUUUGUAUGUAUUUGUUGCGAUUUGUACGUCAAUCAGUGGUAGGGAAUAUUGUAGGCCAGUUGUAGUAGUUGAUGGAAUAUUUUUAAAUUCAGCAUACAGGAGAAUAAUGUUAACAACCAGUAAAAUGGAUGCAGCAGGUACUGAAGUUUUGUUGUAGAAAUAUUGUAGCUUGUAUUUCUUUUUUGUAGUACUUGCAGAUAAUUGUAGAUCUAUUGUAGAUAUUUUGUAGAAUAUUUGUAGUUUGUAUAUAUAUGCCUUUUUCGCAGCUAACUAAUUACUUCUUGCCACAUAAUGUAGGUACCAUAUUACCAUUGGCAUAUACUGUUGUUAAUUCAGAGAAUUUGUGCAUCGUGGAAGUGAUUUUUUGAGCAAUUCGAACUCGAAUAUGGUGAAAGACCAAAUAUGUGUGUUGUUUCAUAUCAGAAUGAGAGUAUCUUGAAGGCAAUAUCUAUUGUUUAUCCUGACAUGCCACAUUAUUUUUGAUGUGGCAUAUUUGGGCAAAUAUACGGGCAAAGUUCAAGAAGGGAUAUCUUAAGUUAAGUGAAUUAUACUAUGUCAUGGCACGGACAUGCACACUUGAUGAAUUUAAUGAAAGGAUGUCAACAAUUGAGGAGAUUGACCCCCCUUUUGAAGCAUAUUUAUAUGAUAUUGGCUGUCAUAGAUGGUCCCUAGUACAUGCUACAGUGAACAGAACUUGGACUAUGGCAUCAAAUAUUGCAGAGUCGUUAAAUGCUGUAACAACAUAUGCAAGAGAGUUGCCGAUGGUAGAACUAUUAGAGUAUAUGAGGACCCUUCUUGAACGUUGGACAAAAUAAAAGUUAUUGAAAGCAAAGGGUAAAUUCACAUACCCUGGAUACAAAUUCAACAAAGAGUUGGAUGACAACAAAAAUU